rnacentral:rRNA from 1 species
AUGGAGGACCUCGCCGCUUCGAUCAUGUCGCUCUCGCACAGCGCCCCGCUCUACCUCUUCUUCAACGUCCCCGCCUGGGAGGAGUACUGCCUCCACGAAGACAUCAGCGGCGGCUUCGAGCUUGCCGCGGCUGACAGUAACGGCGGCGAGCUGCGCGUGUGCGCCCGCCAGCUGCUCCGCGGUGGUGCGCAGCUCCCUCUGAAGUUGCCGCCGCGGCUGCAGCAUCCAGCUGACUGGUCCGCCGCGUCCUCCGCCGCCACUUCGCCGACGCUGCAGGCGCAACUGUGCAUGGUGCCGUCGUGGAGCCCGUUCACGAGCAGCGCGAGGCACAGGGACUUCGACCCGUUCGCCGCCGCGCUGGAGAAGGUACGCCGGGACGGCGCCGCGCCCCUGCCCAGCAGGCCCAUCCGCCGCGCGAGGUCGCUCUCGUCGCUUCGGGGCGCCCAAACCGCCGCGACGAACCUACACAGCUCGCAGCUCUCGAAGAAGGCGAGCAGGAGGCCACCGCAGAGGAGCACGAGGAGGAGAGGCGUGAAGCGCCUGCUGUGCUGGGCUCCGAUGGCAAGCUCAGCCGCCGCUCCGGCACCUGGGAAGGACGGCGUCGCGUCUUACCGGCGGCCGAGUCUUUUAGUCUGCUUUGGCUUUUAA